rnacentral:rRNA from 1 species
CAGCCGCCGCGGUAAUACGUAGGGUGCAAGCGUUAAUCGGAAUUACUGGGCGUAAAGCGUGCGCAGGCGGUUUGUUAAGACAGAUGUGAAAUCCCCGGGCUCAACCUGGGACCUGCAUUUGUGACUGUAUAGCUAGAGUACGGUAGAGGGGGAUGGAAUUCCGCGUGUAGCAGUGAAAUGCGUAGAUAUGCGGAGGAACACCGAUGGCGAAGGCAAUCCCCUGGACCUGUACUGACGCUCAUGCACGAAAGCGUGGGGAGCAAACAGGAUUAGAUACCCCUGUAGUCCCUGUCUCUUAUAC